GACCAUGCAGCAGCUAGGAGUGUCACUUUCUGUGGAGAGGCACAAUUGCAGUGGUUUGCCUUGUUCAAAUUUGAUACCUGGACGAUAUCCAGUGAUUAGCUGCUUCAAUUGGCUUUAUUUAAUUGAAUCGGCACUGUUGCGGUGAUUUGCCCUGUUCAAAUAAACACUGGGACGACACUCAGUGAUCAGUCACUUUAUGGGCUUGAUGUAAUCUAAUUGAUUCAGAAUUACUCUAAAUUUCAAAAAGGUUAUACCCAGUGGAUAAUCAGUGAAAAGGGUUACUUCCAAUUCAAUUUAAAUUGAUACCCCAUAUGGUGAAAUUUGGUCCGAUACUAUUUUAAGCAUUGUUAAAUUGCCUUUUUGAAGACACGAUAAGAUGUAUGUCCAUAUUGUGAUUCUUUGAUUAAUACACCCCUGAUGAAGUCUGUAGG